rnacentral:rRNA from 1 species
GGGUGAGUAACACGUGGAUAACCUACCUAUAAGACUGGGAUAACUUCGGGAAACCGGAGCUAAUACCGGAUAAUAUAUUGAACCGCAUGGUUCAAUAGUGAAAGACGGUUUUGCUGUCACUUAUAGAUGGAUCCGCGCCGCAUUAGCUAGUUGGUAAGGUAACGGCUUACCAAGGCGACGAUGCGUAGCCGACCUGAGAGGGUGAUCGGCCACACUGGAACUGAGACAUGGUCCAG